AUGGCGGCUAUGGGUGGGGACGAAAGGCAGAGGAUGGAGGCUCCGGCAGGGGACAAGUUCCCCGAGGGGCUGCGCGUGCUCGCUGUGGACGACGACUCUGUCUGCCUCAAGGUACUGGAGGUCGUUCUGCGCCGCUGCAAAUACAACCCAACGACCGUGACGGACGCGAAGACGGCGUUGAAGAUGCUGAGGGCGGGGAAGGCACAGUUCGACCUGGUGAUCACCGACGUGCACAUGCCAGGCAUGGACGGCUUCAAGCUCCUUGAGCUCAUCCACCUUGAGAUGGAUCUGCCCGUCAUCAUGCUAUCUGUGGAUUGUGACAAGAAGGCUGUGAUGAAGGGCAUAACACAUGGAGCGUGCGACUAUUUGGUGAAGCCAGUGUGCACCAACGAGCUAAAAAAUAUAUGGCAACAUGUUGAAAGGAGGAGAAAUUUUGAAGCAAAAACACACAUCAACAACAACAACAACAACAAUGAUCAUGAUGAUGAUAGAGUGCAGCCAAGGACUGCUGCCACGAGCAAGGACUCGGGGAAUAAGGGCAAUGAAGGAUAUGAUUCUAACGAGAACCAAGAGAUCACACACGUAUCCACCACCUGGAAGAAGCCAAGGGUGGUAUGGACAACUGAGCUUCAGAACAAAUUUCUAGAAGCUAUUGACCAGAUCGGCCUAGACAAGGCCGUUCCAAAAAAGAUAUUGGAACUAAUGAAAGUGGAUUACCUCACCAGAGACAGUAUCGCAAGUCAUCUACAGAAGUAUAGGUUGCACUUGAGAAGAGUCAAACCAAAUCCAGUUGGUGAUGCCUCUGAAAGACAUAACUCAUCCUACAACAACAUGAACAACCAGGGGAGUUUCAUGCGUAACCAUGAACAUGAAAUAUGGUGUAUGUCCUCUGGUCUUUUAAGUCCAAACAAUUUUUCUGCAAUGGGUCACUUAGCUCAGCCGGCGAACACACAAAGAAACUCGUGCAUGGGGUCAUUCAUCCAUGAUGGUAGAAUGUACAAGUAUGUCGCACCAAAACUGUCGGAUGCGGGAACAUUCGCUGGCUCCAUUGACCCUCCUGCCAACCUAUACAACAACAUACCCAAUGAAACAACUUUAGAUGAAUUUCCUUCAUAUAGUUUUGGCGAUUCCUAUGCUGGCUGCAUGCGUGGUAAGCUGGUGGAGACAAACAAAGGCAAGUUUCCAGACCCUUCAUACAAUUCUGCAACACAUGCGACAUUGACUGGUGUUCUUCAUAGAGGCUUCAAUGAGCAGAUUGUUCCAAAAAAUGCACCUAGCAACCAAAGCUUCGUAGGGAUGUUGAAUGCCUGCGGCAGUCGUCCAGUGUCAUCAUCUGAGAUGGUUAAGGGAGGGAGCAGCAGUAUAUCAGUAGAUGGCUUCAGUGAGCGGAUGGCACCAUUCAACAUAGCAAAAAACACAAGCUCAGUCGGAAUGAUGUUGAAUGAAAACACCGCACCUGGUAAUGGUAGAAUCUCAAUGACACAUACAGAUAUGGCUAAUAGUGGAAGAACUAUUUCUACACUUUCCAACCAUCAGACAGAAAAUGUUGUAGCAAUAACUGACAAGCUUGAUGGCGGGGAUGCAGUUAGCAAUCACCCUAUGCAAGUGGGUACUAUUGGUCAGCAUGCACUUAAUGAUCAAUUUAAUGACAUCAAGGACUUCUCAUGGGAUGAUCUUUUUCUCAACCCGCUGGAUGCAGAUUUCACUAUCGAGGAUGAUUUCAUGGGUGGAGAAGAAUAG
rnacentral:rRNA from 1 species